GACCCAGUAGCUCAGAUGGAUAGAGCGGCUGCCUCCUAAGCAGCAGGUCCCCUGUUCGAAUCAGGGCUGGGCCA
rnacentral:tRNA from 1 species